UUGGUGCUUGCAUCAUGAUUUACAUUUGAGUGAGUGGCGAACUGGUGAGUAACACGUGGGAAACCUGCCCAGAAGCGGGGGAUAACACCUGGAAACAGAUGCUAAUACCGCAUAACAACUUGGACCGCAUGGUCCGAGCUUGAAAGAUGGCUUCGGCUAUCACUUUUGGAUGGUCCCGCGGCGUAUUAGCUAGAUGGUGGGGUAACGGCUCACCAUGGCAAUGAUACGUAGCCGACCUGAGAGGGUAAUCGGCCACAUUGGGACUGAGACACGGCCCAAACUCCUACGGGAGGCAGCAGUAGGGAAUCUUCCACAAUGGACGAAAGUCUGAUGGAGCAACGCCGCGUGAGUGAAGAAGGGUUUCGGCUCGUAAAACUCUGUUGUUAAAGAAGAACAUAUCUGAGAGUAACUGUUCAGGUAUUGACGGUAUUUAACCAGAAAGCCACGGCUAACUACGUGCCAGCAGCCGCGGUAAUACGUAGGUGGCAAGCGUUGUCCGGAUUUAUUGGGCGUAAAGCGAGCGCAGGCGGUUUUUUAAGUCUGAUGUGAAAGCCUUCGGCUCAACCGAAGAAGUGCAUCGGAAACUGGGAAACUUGAGUGCAGAAGAGGACAGUGGAACUCCAUGUGUAGCGGUGAAAUGCGUAGAUAUAUGGAAGAACACCAGUGGCGAAGGCGGCUGUCUGGUCUGUAACUGACGCUGAGGCUCGAAAGUAUGGGUAGCAAACAGGAUUAGAUACCCUGGUAGUCCAUACCGUAAACGAUGAAUGCUAAGUGUUGGAGGGUUUCCGCCCUUCAGUGCUGCAGCUAACGCAUUAAGCAUUCCGCCUGGGGAGUACGGCCGCAAGGCUGAAACUCAAAGGAAUUGACGGGGGCCCGCACAAGCGGUGGAGCAUGUGGUUUAAUUCGAAGCUACGCGAAGAACCUUACCAGGUCUUGACAUACUAUGCAAAUCUAAGAGAUUAGACGUUCCCUUCGGGGACAUGGAUACAGGUGGUGCAUGGUUGUCGUCAGCUCGUGUCGUGAGAUGUUGGGUUAAGUCCCGCAACGAGCGCAACCCUUAUUAUCAGUUGCCAGCAUUAAGUUGGGCACUCUGGUGAGACUGCCGGUGACAAACCGGAGGAAGGUGGGGAUGACGUCAAAUCAUCAUGCCCCUUAUGACCUGGGCUACACACGUGCUACAAUGGAUGGUACAACGAGUUGCGAACUCGCGAGAGUAAGCUAAUCUCUUAAAGCCAUUCUCAGUUCGGAUUGUAGGCUGCAACUCGCCUACAUGAAGUCGGAAUCGCUAGUAAUCGCGGAUCAGCAUGCCGCGGUGAAUACGUUCCCGGGCCUUGUACACACCGCCCGUCACACCAUGAGAGUUUGUAACACCCAAAGUCGGUGGGGUA
rnacentral:rRNA from 1 species